rnacentral:rRNA from 1 species
CACACUGUAAACGAUGAUAACUGGGUGUUGGUCUGUACAGAUCAGCGCCUUAAGCGAAAGCGUUAAGUUAUCCACCUGGGGAGUACGUCGGCAACGAUGAAACUCAAAGGAAUUGACGGGGGCCCGCACAAGCGGAGGAACAUGUGGUUUAAUUCGAUGAUACGCGAGGAACCUUACCCGGGCUCGAACGGCAGAGUGAUGAUGGGGAAACUUAUCAGCCAGCAAUGGACUCUGUCGAGGUGC